rnacentral:tRNA from 1 species
GGAGAGGUGGCAGAGUGGUUGAUUGCGGCAGACUCGAAAUCUGUUGUGCGGCUUUGCUGCACCGGGGGUUCAAAUCCCUCCCUCUCCG